GAGAUGUGUGAUGACGCAUAUCAAUAAGCGGAGGAAAAGAAACUAACAAGGAUUCCCUUAGUAACGGCGAGUGAAGCGGGAAGAGCUCAAAUUUGAAAUCUUCAAGGUUCUACCUUGACGAAUUGUAGUUUAUAAGAAGUGUUUUCUGUUAGUAGAGUGGCAAAAGUUCUUUGGAAUAGGACAUCAUAGAGGGUGAGAAUCCCGUAUUUGGUCAUUCUUUCUAGCUUUGUGAUACACUUUCAACGAGUCGGAUUGUUUGGGAAUGCAGUCCAAAAUGGGUGGUAAAUUUCAUCUAAAGCUAAAUAUUGGCGAGAGACCGAUAGCGAACAAGUACCGUGAGGGAAAGAUGAAAAGAACUUUGAAAAGAGAGUUAAACAGUACGUGAAAUUGUCAAAAGGGAAGCGUUUGACACCAGUGUUGUCUUUCCGAAAAUCAAUUACGAAUGUUUUAUUUUUGAGAAGUUAUGACUUCAUCGGCUUGCUUCUUUCUUUAUCGAAACUUUCUUAAUGCACUUUUCGGUUAACAAGUCAACAUCAAUUUCUUUUGUUGUAAAAGGGUAUCGAGGAAGGUGGCUUUCUUUUCGGAGAAAGUGUUUAUAGCCUUGUAGCCUCUGCAAUCGGAGAGAUUGAGGUCUGCAGCGUAGAUCCUUCGGGGUUAGAUACAUUUGUGCUAAGUUAUAGCUUUUCAUAGACAACUUGUUGACUAUGUUUAGUCUUGUAGCUUACUCGCUUAUGCUAUUUUACCUACGCUUAGGAUGUUGAAGAUGUAGCACAUCAU
rnacentral:rRNA from 1 species